rnacentral:rRNA from 1 species
CUGCCAGUAGUCAUAUGCUUGUCUCAAAGAUUAAGCCAUGCAUGUCUAAGUCCAAGCUGUGUUCACACGGCGAGACCGCGGACGGCUCAUUAAAUCAGUCGUGGUCCAAAUGGGCCAGUGCAAAUCCUACUUGGAUAACUGUGGUAAUUCCAGAGCUAAUACAUGCAACUGAUAUCCCGAAGGCGGUGUUUGGGCUUGCUUGCCUUGCGCUGCGCUGCUCUGACGGAUGCUUUUAUUAGACCAAGCCGCUGAGGACUUGAGGGUUCGCGCUCUCUUGUCUGACUCGUGUGAUGGUGACUCUGGAUAACCAAAUUCUGACAAGCGCACGUACUUCUCUUCUGAGCGAGACGGCGCUGCCACUUUCGAGUGUCUGCCUUAUCAGCUAUCAACCGUUCGUUAUGCGCGACCGAUGGCUUUGACGGGUAACGGGGAAUCAGGGUUCGAUUCCGGAGAGGCAGCCUGAGAGACGGCUACCACGUCCAAGGACGGCAGCAGGCACGCAAAUUACCCAAUCCCAGCAAAUGGGGGAGGUAGUGACGAAAUCUAACGAUGCGGGCGCCCUUUCUGGGGCCCCGCAAUCGGAAUGGGCACUUUCUAAACAACCUGUUGAGAACCUACUGAA